rnacentral:rRNA from 1 species
UACGGGGGGGGCAAGCGUUGUUCGGAAUUACUGGGCGUAAAGGGCUCGUAGGCGGCCAACUAAGUCGGACGUGAAAUCCCUCGGCUUAACCGGGGAACUGCGUCCGAUACUGGAUGGCUUGAGUAUGGGAGAGGGAUGCGGAAUUCCAGGUGUAGCGGUGAGAUGCGUAGAUAUCUGGAGGAACAUCGGUGGCGAAGGCGGCAUCCUGGACCGGUAUUGACGCUGAGGCGCGAAAGCUAGGGGAGCAAACGGG